AUGUAGGGAAAGUUUAAGAGUGAGGGCGCUCAGGUGACGGCCCUGCUUUCCCUUUCAUCUUCGGCUUGCUGUUCUUACUGCUGCCCCACCGGCUGGCUGGGUCGCUCUCCCAGAGCUCUUCCUGUGGCCAGAUGUGCUGAAGAGACAACACCAGCCAGAAGGCCAGCGAGACGCCCUCUGCAGCCAGCAGACAGCAUCUUAACGAUGAAACCAGGAUGUGUGUCCGGAGAUUCACGCUCACUCUGCGCAUCCCUGAGGAAGAGACAGCAGCCACUGGGCCCUCUCGGACUCCUGUGGAUGUUCCCAGUCAAUCAGUCCUGCACUGAGGAGUCCUGGAGACGGCUGUCACCCUUGGAGCCCCCAGACUGAGGAGGAAGGCCAGACAGGAGUACCCUGUCCUGAAGACAAGUUCUCAUCAGAGUAGGGGAGAAGCACACCCUUCCCACAACUCUUCAAGAGAGGAGUCGG
rnacentral:lncRNA from 1 species